rnacentral:rRNA from 1 species
CAGAGGCCUCAAGCGUUAGGCGGAAUCACUGGGCUUAAAGCGUGUGUAGGCGGAUCGUUAAGUGCCUUGUGAAAUCCCACGGCUUAACUGUGGAACGGCUGGGCAUACUGGCGGUCUUGAGCCAUCUAGGGGCGACUGGAACAAACGGUGGAGCGGUGAAAUGCGUAGAUAUCGUUUGGAACGCCAAUGGUGAAAACAGGUCGCUGGGGAUGAGCUGACGCUGAGACACGAAAGCCAGGGGAGCAAACGGGAUUAGAUACCCCGGUAGUCCUGGCCCUAAACGAUGUCCACUAGAUCACAGGACCUCUGACGGUUUGUGGUCGAAGCAAAAGUGCUAAGUGGACCGCCUGGGAAGUACGGUCGCAAGGCU